CACAUUGACUCCAGAAGGCACCUCCCCCACAGCAGGCUGGGAAGUUGCUUAACAGCCCAGGCUUUGGAAUACUGAUGCAACGAUGACAAGCACAGCUAACAUUCAUUGGACACCCCUUCUGCACUUGGCAUUGUGCUAAGUGUCUUAAUGCGGCCUCUCCUCUAAUCCACACCUAAUGCACAAGGUUCGGUUAUUGUCCCCAUUUUAUAGAUAAAGAAACGAAGCUCAGAGAGGUUAAGAAACUGGUCCCAGGAUACACAGCUGGUGAAACCAAGGCUUGGUGACAUUAAAUAACUUGCCUGAGGUCACAAAGCGAGAAACUGGCAGAGAAGCGCUUGUGUCAAUGCUGGUUUGGCUCAGAAGCUACUGCUCUUAGCCAGGGUGCUGCCAUGGUGACCGGCCUUUCCCAUUAGAGGAGAAUGAUGGCCAUUCAUGGGAGCGCCUGGGACAAGAUGAUCUGAAUGGCCGUCACUCGGUCAGGGUGGAGCACGGGCACCGGAACCUUGGCACUGCCUUGCCAAUAAUCACAGAUUCCCAGUGUGAGGAGGCGAGGUGUGCCAGGCCCUGCGCCCAGAGUUUUAGAUGCACCAUUUCAUUUAACCUUCGUUUUGCAGAUCAGGAAACUGAGGCCUGACAAGGUUACUAUUCUCACCUGUGAGUGUCAGAACUGAGACAAGAACCCAAGGGUUCCAGUCAUGUAUUGUUGGAUAACGAUGAACUCGAAAAGUUAGUGCUUAAAACGACAACUUAUUAUUUCUCAUGAUUCUGUGAGUCGGCAUUUGGGCAUGGCUCAGCUGGUUGGUUUUUCCGCUCCAUGUGGCGUUAGCUGGGGUCAUUCGCUUGGCUGCACUGAGCUGGUGGCUGGGUUGGAAGGGAAGGGCCAAGAAGGCUCUGUUCCCAGGCCUGGCGCCCCAGGGUCCCUCUGCAUGGCCUCCCGGGGCCAGCAUGGUGGCUUCAGGGAGCUGGAUGUCUUACCUGGCAGCUGGCUUUUGAAGGAAUAAAAGCAGAGCUACCAGGCUUCUGCGGAGCUCGAGGUGGAGUUGGCACAGUGUCACCUCCACCGAAUUCUACUGGUCAAGGAAGUCACAUGCCGAGGAGGAGGGAAUAGAUCUCUCCUCUUGGUGGGUGCAGCCGCUCAUACCGGGAUGCGUGAUGUUCAUGGCCACCCAUAGUGGGAGACUGACUACCACCCCAGCCUCCUCCCUGCCAGCCUCUCUCCCAGACCCUGGGCCUAACCCCAGGAAGCCCUCAUCUCCGCGGACCCACUAAAGCUGCCUAGGCCCCCACCAGAGGGGUGUGCCUAUGCGUUGUCUUACCUGGUCCUCCUGCCCAAGGACUUCUUCAUGCUCUGUGCCUGGCUUCGCAAGAAUUCACCUUCCCUGGUUUCUUCCAGGGCAGGCACCAUUUUUUCCGGCUUCCUGUGGCUGCAUCACCUGAGUUAGCCUGACGUGUUCUGUCCUCGGGACCCUGAAAGAACCUGGUACAUGGCUCACAGGUAGUCAGCCACCUGAACAAGACCGUAUUGGAUUCACCUUCGCAGGCCCAGCAUCAGCACCGGGUCUUCUAGAGAAGCUCGGUAAACAGGGCCUGCUGGCACCUGCGUUCACAGGCUUGGGCCUUGAACAAAGGAAGAGUCUUACUUCUCCAGGACCAGCAGCCUCAUCACCUGGGAAUACGGUUAGGAAUACGGGCCCUCCCUCCUUACGCACCCUGACCAGGGCCCAGGGCCGGGGAUGGAGCCUGAAACCGAGGUAUGUGCCCUUGACUGGAAUCGAACCCAGGACCUUUCAGUCCAUGGGCCGAUGAUCCAUCCACCGAGUAAACCGGCCAGGGCCAGAAUUUGUAAGUUCACAAAUACCCAGGUGAUUCUCAUGCGAGACAACGGAGGUCCUCAAGGUAAAGAAACAGGAGCAGGGUGGGAAGACAGGUGCCAGUGAGUCCCCCUGGGAAGAUAAGGCAUGGGUCUCAACCCUGGCUGAUGGUUAGAAUCACCUGUGGUGCUUUUAAAAAAUCCCGAUGCCCUGUGUGCGCCCAGAUCAAUAAGAUCCAGGUCUCUGGAAGUCGGGCCCGGGAUCAGGAUCUUAAAAGCUCCUCGGGUGAGUUCACCGUGCAGUGGGUUGAGAGCCGCCGGCUCAGUGUUUUAGUUCGUACAGUGCAGUCUGUGGGCCAUCGGAACCACAUCACUUGGGGGCAUGGAUUAAAGAUGCAGAGUCCUGGACCACACACCAUAUUGUGAGUCUACAUCUCCUGGGGUGGGGCCCGGAACCCACAUUUUUUAACCUUCUCUCUAGGUGAUUUAAACGGCACUGAAGUUAGAGACUGUGGAGUUCAGGACCCUGAAUAAGCAAUGACAAUGGCAAUGAUGUUUCUAAAUGAGAAAAUGUAGGGAAGCAAACACGAAACCAACAAACCUCCAUACUCCUCCUGCCUAGAGAGCAUCAGGGGCCCCUCUUGGCACCCCCUCUGGAGCAGGAAGGAGCCCCCCUGCCCCCCGCCCCCAGAGAAGCUGCCCAGGGCAGGGUCGGCGGUGGACUGGGCUGUGCUCUGCUGCAGGGUGGAGCCUGUCAUCUGGCCCGGACAGAAUUAUUGCCUCAAAUUACAUGGUUGAUUAUCAA